CGCAAGCCUGACGGAGCAAGACCGCGUGGGGGAGGAAGGCUCUUGGGUUGUAAACCCCUUUUCUCAGGGAAGAACCAAAUGACGGUACCUGAGGAAUCAGCCUCGGCUAACUCCGUGCCAGCAGCCGCGGUAAUACGGAGGAGGCAAGCGUUAUCCGGAAUGAUUGGGCGUAAAGCGUUCGUAGGUGGCUAUUCAAGUCUGCUGUCAAAGACAGAAGCUCAACUUCCGAAAGGCAGUGGAAACUGAGUAGCUGGAGUGCGGUAGGGGCAGAGGGAAUUCCCGGUGUAGCGGUGAAAUGCGUAGAGAUCGGGAAGAACACCGGUGGCGAAAGCGCUCUGCUGGGCCGCAACUGACACUGAGGGACGAAAGCUAGGGGAGCG
rnacentral:rRNA from 1 species